rnacentral:rRNA from 1 species
AUUGAACGCUGGCGGCAGGCCUAACACAUGCAAGCCGAGCGGGGUUUUCGGACCUAGCGGCGGACGGGUGAGUAAUGCGUAGGAAGCUACCCGAUAGAGGGGGAUACCAGUUGGAAACGACUGUUAAUACCGCAUAAUGUCUACGGACCAAAGUGUGGGACCUUCGGGCCACAUGCUAUCGGAUGUGCCUACGUGGGAUUAGCUAGUUGGUGAGGUAAUGGCUCACCAAGGCGACGAUCCCUAGCUGGUUUGAGAGGAUGAUCAGCCACACUGGAACUGAGACACGGUCCAGACUCCUACGGGAGGCAGCAGUGGGGAAUAUUGGACAAUGGGCGCAAGCCUGAUCCAGCCAUGCCGCGUGUGUGAAGAAGGCCUUCGGGUUGUAAAGCACUUUCAGUAAGGAGGAAGCGUUGAGUGUUAAUAGUACUCAGCGUUGACGUUACUUACAGAAGAAGCACCGGCUAACUCUGUGCCAGCCGCCGCAGUAAAAC